rnacentral:tRNA from 1 species
AGCAAAGUAAGCUAACAGAAGCUAUUGGGCCCAUACCCCAAAAAUGUUGAUUAGUACUCAGCCUUUGUUA